AGCUCAGCCGCGGCGAGGGAGCUGUCUGCUCUCUGCUCUCUGCUCCCUCGGAGCAGAGAGCAGAGAGCAGACAGCUCCCUCGCCGCGGCUGAGCUGCA